GGCAGACUCAGCCCCCAAUUGGAGCUAUGUGCUAGCCCUGUGAUCCUAGACAGGUUGCUCUGCGUCUCUGAGUCUCCGCUUCCUCCUCUGUAAAAAGGAGGAUGAAAGGCUAAUGGCCAGGAGAGAACGGGACAGAAGAUCAAACUACUGAGUCAGGGGCAGGAGAAGAAGAGGAGGUCUGGAGAUUGUACUACUCGAUUUUUUAUGUGGUGAUU
rnacentral:lncRNA from 1 species